GAAAGCCGUGUGAUGGGAAACUGUCACGCACGGUUUGGAGCGGGGGAAAAUCUGGAGGAACGGAUAUGCAGCCUGCGGCUGCAUAUCCCGCCCAAAGGAUUACCUAUCGCUAU
rfam:Subdoligranulum variabile DSM 15176 genomic scaffold Scfld0, whole genome shotgun sequence.